rnacentral:rRNA from 1 species
GACGAACGCUGGCGGCGUGCCUAAUACAUGCAAGUCGAGCGCAGGAAACCGUCUGAACCCUUCGGGGGGACGACGGCGGAAUGAGCGGCGGACGGGUGAGUAACACGUAAAGAACCUGCCCAUAGGUCUGGGAUAACCACGAGAAAUCGGGGCUAAUACCGGAUGUGUCAUCGGACCGCAUGGUCCGCUGAUGAAAGGCGCUUCGGCGUCGCCCAUGGAUGGCUUUGCGGUGCAUUAGCUAGUUGGUGGGGUAACGGCCCACCAAGGCGACGAUGCAUAGCCGACCUGAGAGGGUGAUCGGCCACACUGGGACUGAGACACGGCCCAGACUCCUACGGGAGGCAGCAGUAGGGAAUCUUCCACAAUGGACGAAAGUCUGAUGGAGCAACGCCGCGUGAACGAUGAAGGCUUUCGGGUCGUAAAGUUCUGUUGUAAGGGAAGAACAAGUGCCGCAGGCAAUGGCGGCACCUUGACGGUACCUUGCGAGAAAGCCACGGCUAACUACGUGCCAGCAGCCGCGGUAAUACGUAGGUGGCAAGCGUUGUCCGGAAUUAUUGGGCGUAAAGCGCGCGCAGGCGGCCUCUUAAGUCUGAUGUGAAAGCCCCCGGCUCAACCGGGGAGGGCCAUUGGAAACUGGGAGGCUUGAGUAUAGGAG